rnacentral:rRNA from 1 species
GUAGGUGGCAAGCGUUGUCCGGAAUUAUUGGGCGUAAAGCGCGCGCAGGUGGGUUCUUUAAGUCUGAUGUGAAAGCCCCCGGGCUCAACCGGGGAGGGUCAUUGGAAACUGGGGAACUUGAGUGCAGGAGAGGAAAGUGGAAUUCCACGUGUAGCGGUGAAAUGCGUAGAUAUGUGGAGGAACACCAGUGGCGAAGGCGACUUUCUGGCCUGUAACUGACACUGAGGCGCGAAAGCGUGGGGAGCAAACAGGAUUAGAUACCCUGGUAGUCCACGCCGUAAACGGUGAGUGCUAAGUGUUGGGGGGUUUCCGCCCCUCAGUGCUGCAGCUAACGCAUUAAGCACUCCGCCUGGGGAGUACGGUCGCAAAGACUG